AUCCAUUUGAUUUAUGUUGUCAUCUAAUCUCAACGCGCGCAAGCCCGGCUGAGUCAUAAAAAAUUGUUGCCAUCGUUCAAUUCGAACACUUGUUUAUCCAAAGUAAACUGGUGGUAUGAUUUCUAAUCCGCUCAGGAUUAGAAAUAGCGAGUAUUAGGAGGACAUUCAUAUUAGGCAGACCUAGAACACUGGUAUUGGGGAUUAUUCUAUAAUCCCAGAAGUAUAGUCGAUUUGGCUGAAGUUGUGUAUGUUUUCAACAUGCGUGUCAAACAUGGCUUCAUUUUAGUUUAGUAUGAAGGCCAGUGUAGGUAUCUGUCAUCACCUGAAACGAUGCGGUUCGCCUAUGUUUAUGAGAAAAGGCUCGACGCAGCCAAGAAAAAAAUCACGUUCCAGCACAGCAGAAGGCUUUAUCCUCUGAAAUCCUUAUGUCCGAAAAAAUUGAGAUCGUCAUCGACUGGAAAAUGCGUGACGACGUCAAGUAUCGUCGUCAUCGUCAGAAUCCAUAGUAACCGGCGCCACGUUAUCGCGGGUUCGAACGAAAUCGUCUGACCAAGGCUUUAUGUGCCUUUAAUACAAGUAUAUGAUUCAAAUAUAUAACAAUGAAAAAGGUAUAGCCACGUCAAGUUCUUGCCGCUUUAGUUACAGGAUUUCUUCGUUGUCAUGCGCUCAUUAAAAAAGCCAUAUUCUAUAAAAAUAUCUUAUCAUACAUAACGAUAGAGUAUCUGUACUGAGCAAAAUGUCUACAUCACUUAGAAAAGAAAACUGACAGCAGUUUUGUUAAUUGCACACAAAAGAUACAUCGAAAAUACAGUGCUUAUAUUUGUGAUAUAAUAAUCAGCCAAAGAAUAUCGUGCCAGCACGUUUUUCAUAAAUAAAGGCAAAAAA